rnacentral:rRNA from 1 species
CCUACGGGGGGCAGCAGUGAGGAAUAUUGGUCAAUGGGCUUACGCCUGAACCAGCCAAGUCGCGUGAGGGAAGACUGCCCUAUGGGUUGUAAACCUCUUUUGUCAGGGAGCAAUUGGCGCUACGUGUAGCGUUAUCGAGAGUACCUGAAGAAAAAGCAUCGGCUAACUCCGUGCCAGCAGCCGCGGUAAUACGGAGGAUGCGAGCGUUAUCCGGAUUUAUUGGGUUUAAAGGGUGCGUAGGCGGAAUGCCAAGUCAGCGGUAAAAUCGCGGGGCUCAACCUCGCUCCGCCGUUGAAACUGGCGGUCUUGAGUGGGCGAGAAGUAUGCGGAAUGCGUGGUGUAGCGGUGAAAUGCAUAGAUAUCACGCAGAACUCCGAUUGCGAAGGCAGCAUACCGGCGCCCAACUGACGCUGAGGCACGAAAGCGUGGGUAUCGAACAGGAUUAGAUACCCCUGUAGUC